GUUCCUGUAGUUGAAAUAUUAAUCAACGGUGGCUUUUCAAGCCACAGGUCUUGGGGAGGAGCCAAGUAGGAAUU
rnacentral:tRNA from 1 species